rnacentral:rRNA from 1 species
AUUGAACGCUGGCGGCAUGCUUUACACAUGCAAGUCGAACGGCAGCGCGGGCUUCGGCCUGGCGGCGAGUGGCGAACGGGUGAGUAAUGCAUCGGAACGUGCCCAGUAGUGGGGGAUAGCCCGGCGAAAGCCGGAUUAAUACCGCAUACGACCUGAGGGUGAAAGCGGGGGACCGAAAGGCCUCGCGCUAUUGGAGCGGCCGAUGUCGGAUUAGCUAGUUGGUGGGGUAAAGGCUUACCAAGGCGACGAUCCGUAGCUGGUCUGAGAGGACGACCAGCCACACUGGGACUGAGACACGGCCCAGACUCCUACGGGAGGCAGCAGUGGGGAAUUUUGGAAAAUGGGGGCAACCCUGAUCCAGCCAUGCCGCGUGCGGGAAGAAGGCCUUCGGGUUGUAAACCGCUUUUGUUCGGGAAGAAAUCCUCUGGGCUAAUACCCCGGGGGGAUGACGGUACCGGAAGAAUAAGCACCGGCUAACUACGUG